rnacentral:rRNA from 1 species
AACGAACGCUGGCGGCAUGCCUAACACAUGCAAGUCGAACGAGACCUUCGGGUCUAGUGGCGCACGGGUGCGUAACGCGUGGGAAUCUACCCUCAGGUUCGGAAUAACUCAGAGAAAUUUGAGCUAAUACCGGAUGAUGACGUAAGUCCAAAGAUUUAUCGCCUGAGGAUGAGCCCGCGUAGGAUUAGGUAGUUGGUGAGGUAAAGGCUCACCAAGCCGACGAUCCUUAGCUGGUCUGAGAGGAUGAUCAGCCACACUGGGACUGAGACACGGCCCAGACUCCUACGGGAGGCAGCAGUGGGGAAUAUUGGACAAUGGGCGAAAGCCUGAUCCAGCAAUGCCGCGUGAGUGAUGAAGGCCUUAGGGUUGUAAAGCUCUUUUACCCGGGAUGAUAAGGACAGUACCGGGAGAAUAAGCUCCGGCGAACUCCGU